CUGCCUACGGGAGGCAGCAGUGGGGAAUAUUGCACAAUGGGGGAAACCCUGAUGCAGCAACGCCGCGUGAGUGAUGACGGCCUUCGGGUUGUAAAGCUCUGUCUUCAGGGACGAUAAUGACGGUACCUGAGGAGGAAGCCACGGCUAACUACGUGCCAGCAGCCGCGGUAAUACGUAGGUGGCGAGCGUUGUCCGGAAUGACUGGGCGUAAAGGGAGUGUAGGCGGCUCAUCAAGUUAGAUGUGAAAUCCCGCGGCUUAACCGCGGAACUGCAUCUAAAACUGGUGAGCUGGAGUGCAGGAGAGG
rnacentral:rRNA from 1 species